rnacentral:lncRNA from 1 species
UGUCCAAUACAUGAGGCAAGACACUCUAUUUAUAGGAGAGUGUCUUGAAGAACAAGAUAGAGGGGUAGGGGUGUCAUUUGUGAGAAGCCUUCUUGAAGGUAGGUCAAAGAAACCCUAAACUUAGAAGCAAUUGUCAUGAAAGGUGGGCUUGGCACAAUCCCAAAUUACUAAGCACACUCUACUUAAAUUACUAAGCACACCUUAUUGAAAUUACUAACACACCCUAGUCAAAUUACUAAGCACACCCUACUCUAGUUUAUUCUUCUAUUUGGAAUCCCCAAAGUGAGCCCAAUUUAUUUACAAACAUACAUUUUUGUCUUGUAAGAAGACUAGAAGAAAGAACAUCUGAUGCUCUGUUCUAUGCCCGAUUCUUCUUCUGUUGAUGUCCUUCCAAUAUUUGGUGGGGCCUUGUCUUGUAAGCUGAGAUGACUGAUCAAAGUGUGAAGUGCCUCUCGUGUCCUUGGUGAUCUGCUUGGCUAAUUGAGUUGUAUCAUUUACAUUGCAUGUUAUAUAAAUGUUUUAACUAACUAAAGAUAGAAGAAAAAGUUAAAGUAAAUUUUGUGAAAAUAUUUAAAUUUGUUUGUGCAUUCACAUUCAUAUCUUGAUAGCACUUACUAAUGACUUUUUUUUACGACAAAUACACCGCGUUGUCAGAAGUAAUAAUUUAUCCCUAAGGAUGGAUAUUGAACCCACAAGGAACAACUAAAUAAUCAAGUAUUAGAUUCAUUAAAUAGAAAACAAAAUAAUAUAGUUUGUUGGGAUUUUGUUAUGAUUGCAAUAAUUAAAAAGAAAGUAAGUCAAAACGUUUGUUGGUUCAAUUGGAAAAAUUGGGAUUGGGGUUCAUCCUUCUUACUCUUUUGAUGCCCAUAUAAAAGUCAUUUAUAAUCGAUUUCUUGCAUAUUUAUAAAAACUUCUUAUCAUUACGAUUAGAUGUUGAUAUUAAUUAACAUUUCAAAUCUAUUUCUAGCAUUCUAAUAUGUUAAGCAUUAUCAUUUGGGUCAGAAACUUAGAAGUAUUUUUCAAUCAAAUAUAAGAUCUUGAUUAUGGGUAAACAAGCAUUACAAAUAAAAUGACAAUACCAAAAGAAAAAAAAAAUAUGCCUAAGAAUUUCAAAUAAAAAUGAUAUCAUCAUAACAGGACAAACAAACCAACUAGCACUAAAUCUCAUUGAUGAAUUUACUUUUGUUAAGUUUCAUACCUUCAGAAAUAAUUUGCAAACCCUAUCUAAUAUUUAAUACAAUUUUCACCAAAAUAAAUUACUUAAAAAGUUAUUAUUGGGGAGCAAUAAAUAUUUUCCUCUUAUUUAUAUUAAUUAAUUACAGACAAGAUUUUGAUAGAACUAGAAAAUACAUACUUUGCACAAGAACAAGAAAUAAUCCAUACCUCUUGUCUGCAAUUCCACCCUGAUCAUGAAAGGAAAAAUUAUUUACUGAAAAAUAUGUAAUAUAAUUCGUAAUAAUUUUUUUACCAUACCUUGACAAAAUUAACUACAUAAAGACAAUCAAUAAAACAAAAAUAUUUAAUAGAAUACCUUCAACAAUGCCAACCCAUAUUUUAUUUUUGUAUAAUUGACUAUCAAAGUAUGAUUCAAUGAGCACAUUCAAAGCCUGAAUGAAUAAUCAAAUUAUUUAGAGUAGUGCAAGAUACCAACUAACAAGACUGCAUCAACACGUUCAAUUAUUUUCUUAAUGAAAUAGCAUACCCAUAAAUUGAUACCAUGAUUAAACUUGAUUAUGCUAAUUUGUACUCCUUACCUUUCAGAAAGACAGGUUUCUGACUUUUCACAACUCCAAUAAAAUCACAAGGAAUUACACGCCUUUAAAAGUAAGAAGUGAAAAAUUUCUCAAUAAAUAGCAUAAAUCCUAAAUAUUCACAUUUUUCAUAUGGUUACAAAAACAUUAAAUCAAAAGAAGCAAAGUAAAAUUGCAAAAGAGGCAACAAGAAAAACAUAAGAUUCUAAACUACUAAAAUCUAAAUAAUUAUUGUUUUAAACAGGCUAGUAAAGAAAAGUAAAAAUUCAGGUCAGCUAAGAGAAAUUAAGGAAAGCUGCAUAUAGGAAUGUCUCAUUUGCAUUAAUGUAGAAGAAAUGUGCCCUUGAACUUUCAGUAACGUAGAGAAACACUAAUUGAAGAUAACCAUUAUAUCAUAGCACAUUUAUACUCGUAUUGAUUUGAAAGAUAAAGGAAGGAUGAAAAUACAAACACAAUUUCUUCCGGAUUUUAUUAUGCCCAUGUCAAAAUCCCUGAUUUGACCAAAGGAUUAACAUUCCAAACAAGUAAAAAGUGGAAUUGAAAUAUCAACCACAACAUUAUUGAUUAUAAAAUUAACCAUAUUGGAGGGAUAGCCAGUAUGGAGUAUCACCAUAAUUAAAAGAAUAUAUGGUUGAACAGAGAUCCACACGUACAAUAAAGCUCAAAAGUAUAAAAUAUUAGAAAAGGGGCACUUACAUGUAUAAAACUGUAUUGUAGAGACAAUGGAAAAACUCCAACAACACUGAAAACUGCAAGUCGCAUUUCAGAGCAUCAUAAUCAAAUCUGUUGUAAACUUCAAAUAUUCUUUAACAGGCUAAGAAGAGGGGGAGAUAGAUGAAACAUUACUCACUAUAUUGACCAUCGACCCAAUCCCAAAACGCAAAAAGCAUAGUUAGGAUCAAUACCAAACUUUUCCACAAGC